AUAUUUACACUGAAAACAAGGGAAUUUAAUUAGGCGUAUUUUUGCAGUGUGGUGUCAAACUAAUUGAAAUUCACCAGCAGACGGAUGAAAACAGCCACAUGAUAUCAAAUAAUUUGGGGAUCUAUCACGAUUAGUGUAUGCCCCCCCAAGAAAAAAAAAAUUAAAGGGAAACACCCUUUUUUUUGUUGACCACACUUUGAAUUUAGUAAAAUUGGUUCGGGCCGCACCCUCGACAUAAUUUUUAACCCUACAAAAAAAAAGGAAAUGCCUACGUCACAUGACGUAACCCCGCCCACUUCUUGUCUUCUGGCGGCGGACAUAUAAAAACAGCCAUCCAUCCAUCCGCCUGCAGCUUACCCGGUAACACCAUCGAUGCCGGCUCAGAUAUUGAAAAUAUAUUUUGAAAAAAAUAUUUAAAAAAAAAAAAAAAAACACACAAGAAGAAGAAAGAAAAUCUGGUCGCUCAUCCAGAUGUCGCAUCAUCUCCACUAUACACUACACACACAAAAAAACGCGUCCAUAUCUAAACGUGCGUUGACGUCUCGACGCCAUCCCGACGUGAACGCAACGCGGGGAGCAGCACAAUCAAAAUGUCAAGCGUCAAAUGUUUACCAUCGCGUCGUCAGCUUGCUGAGAUUUGACCACCACAAAAAUUUGAAAAUGGUCAAAAAAAUACCAGAGUGUCGGCAGAGUAACCACGGAGGCGGGAAUUGUGAGGCGGCGAGUGCCGAGUGGAAGACUAGUGAUUUUGUUGCGAUGCUCGUCAAAAA